UAUUAUUAGCCAACAAUACAAACAUCGUUAAAGUAAAUGUUGAUGGAAAUCGGCGGCAACCCCUUCUUUAACAAAUACUACAACUCUCUCAAGAAAUUAAGUACGAAGACGUAUUGCAGCAGCCUAGCACACCACAUCUUCUCCAAUGUUGGCUACAUCAACACUUCGAACAGCAGAGCCUUGAAGAGCACCAUCAUCGAUAUUGAUUUGGCGCGGCAACAGCACCAGUCCAGCCCGCAUGAGCCUCAGUCAAGGACAAACCUGUCCCUCCACCUGACCCUAGCAGCCUCAGUUCACGACGACCCUUCCACUCGACCUGACCCUAGCGCCUCCACCUUGACCUACGCCCUCAAAAGAUUACAUUAUUAUCCAAGAAGAAGAACAUUGUUGAAGUAAAUGUUGAAAACAGUCCAAACCCCCUUCUCGCACAAAUACUACAAGUCGCUCGAGACAUUCAGCACGCCACCUAUGAACAUCUCGCACAAAAACUACAGGUCGCUCAAGAAAUUCAGCACGCCACCUAUGAACAUCUCCCACAAAUACUACAAGUCGUUCAAGAAAUUCAGCACGCCACAUAUGAACAUCUCCAACAAAUACUACAAGUUGCUCAAGAAAUUCAGCACGCCACGUAUGAACAUCUCACACAAAUACUACAAGUGGUUCAAAAAUUCAGCAGGCCACGUAUGAACAUCUCGAACAAAUACUACAAGUCGCUCAAGUUCAGCAUGCAACCUAUGAACAUCUCCCACAAAUACUACAAGUCCCUCAAGAUUCCGCACGCCACCUAUGAACAUCUCGCACGAAUACUACAAGUCGCUCAAGAAAUUCAACAUGCCACCUAUGAACAUAUCGCACAAAUACUACAAGUCGCUCAAGAAAUUCAGCAUUCCACCUAUGAACAUCUCCCAAAAAUACUACAAGUCGCUCAAGAUUCAGCACGCCACCUAUGAACAUCUCGCACAAAUACUACAAGUCGCUCAAGAAAUUCAGCACGCCACCUAUGAACAUCUCCCAAUACUACAAGUCGCUCAAGAAAUUCAGCAUGCCACCUAUGACCAUCUCGCACAAAUACUACAUGUCGGUCAAUAAAUUUUGCACGCCACCUAUGAACAUCUCGCACAAAUACUACAAGUCGCUCAAGAAAUUCAGCACGCCAUCUAUGAAAAUCUCCCACAAAUACCACAAGUCAUUCAAGAAAUUCAGCACGCCACGUAUGAACAUCUCCCACAAAUACUCCAAGUCGUUCAAGAAAUUCAGCACGCCACCUAUGAACAUCUCACAAACACUACAAGUCACUCAAGAAAUUCAGCACGCCACCUAUGAACAUCUCCCACAAAUAAUACAAGUUGUUCAAGAAAUUCAGCACGCCACGUAUGAUCAUCCCCUUGAAAUACUACAAGUCUUCAACAAAUUCAGCACCUCACCAAUGAACAUCUCACAAAUACUACAAGUCGCUCAAGAAAAUAAGCACUCCAGGUAUUAACAUCUUGCACAAAUACUACAAGUCGCUCAAGCAAUUUAGCGUGUCACCUAUGAACAUCUUGCAUGGUGGCUUGGUGAGUCUGACUUCUGUCUUGACAAGUCUCUCAAGAUAAAAUAAUCGGAUCUAACAGACAGAGCAGGUGCUGAGUGACUCGUCUGUUAACUUGACUGACCUCGAUACGUUGCUCUCGAAUAAUGAGAACCUGACGCACGAGGAACAGUGCUGUCCAACAUUCCCAGUUUUUGGUUGGCGACUUCACUGUCUGGACUCACACAAUCUCUGCCUAUGGCCUUGCUGCAGCCACAGCAGCAGCAACAAAAACAGGUUUUCAGUAUACAGAUAUGCAACUGGAGUGAUGAUAUGCCCUGAAGAUAUUUAUUAAUUAUACCCCCUGUUAACUGGGGUGUAUAGGAAUCCCCUUGGACGGACGUCUAUCUGUCUGUCUUUCCAUCUGUCUGUGGGCGUUCACUUAACAAUUCAACGUUCAGCUUUCAAACUUUCAGUUCUUACAGGACCCCAUACAAUCACAGUUUGGUACUCAGCUGAAUUACAUGCUCUCAGGUGAGCUGGAGCUGGACGCCCAAGGACAAUUCCUGAGUAUAGGCGUCGAGAUCCUGGGCCAGGAAUUCGGGGCAAAGCUCAACGAGUCCUACCCCCAGGGUACAGCCACUCUAACCUUGGGGCUCCACACUUCCCUGCUCAGGGGCAGAGAUUAUCUCAUCUACAAGGGUCCUUAUCCUCACAAGUUCAGGCCCAGGAAACCAUGCUUCUCAACUGCAACACAGCCACUACAUCUCAACAAUAUCUGUCAGUUGGAGGGAGAAAGAAAGAGAUGUUUAAAUAGCAAAACAUGCACACAUUGCUGCUUCAGCCUCAAUAUGAAUUGCAGCGGCAGCAGCAGAAGCAACAGCGCUCACAAUUCAACAAUAAACAGUUCCAUUGACGAGUGCUUUUAAAUGACAUCAUGUCAAUGAACAAGACACCCUUCCCUGAAAACCUCGCAGAUCUAAUGAACAGUGCAACUGCCCCAUAUGUGACCCUUUAGAGAAUGGAAUUACUGGCCAAAUAUCUAAUCGGUGCCAAUCUGGGCUCCAGAAGCAGCCUCAGCCAUGGGGGACAGGUUUAUGAAGCACCCUGAACUUCUCAAUCUCACAGCAACAGUAGAUCAACAUGACCUCCAGCAGCAGCCUCAGCCGUGGGGGACAGGUUUAUGAAGCAGGGCUCCAGCAGCAGCCUCAGCCAUGGGGGACAGGUUUAUGAAGCAUCCUGAUCUUCUCAAUCUCACAGCAACAGUAGAUCAACAUGACCUGAAAGCGGUUCGUGUUCAGUGUCUAACAGUAGUCUAAUGACCAAGCCACGUCAGCAAAGCAGCAAUAACAGCAGUCAAGUCGAGGAUCACCCAUAACUACUUGGUGCCUAGCGAUGAUUUUUCUGCUACCAACUUGACCUGAUUAUUGUACUCACGUUUAACAACAUGACUGCACGAUAUGGCAUCAAUGGCAAAGAAGAAGUGAUCAGAGGGGGUUAUAACGUGCAAGUCAAGAAGGCGACGUCCAUGACGAGACUGAAAACCCUGAUUGCAAAAUGCAGAGUCUGCUCCGGAAGCAUUUGCAGACACAGAACAUGAACGGCUGCAGUCAUUGUCUUCAUAUUAUAUCAUCUCUAUGGUGCAGGACCCUCAGUCUGUGUACACAGGGAACCUUCGACGCCAAUGACGAAAUCAAACCAUCCAAUCAGAAACACAUCCUGUUGCAGCAGUUAUUACCAUUUUGACCCCAGUCAAAAAAAGAAGCUCAGAGAUAAAUACUGUUUAUGCUGUUCUAGUCUUUACAUACCUUGUGGUAUGUUGAGCACGUACUCUGACAGGUUUCAUCUUAUAAUUGUUUGACUGGUGGAAAAUAAAUGACCUUGUUCAAGUCGAAAUGUCAGAAUAACAAUUCAUAAUUCAAAUGCCAAAAAGUCAUAUCAACAGCCACAUUUGUUAUGUGACCAGCAAAGUUGAAUUCAAAGAGACACAAUAGUUUUCUUUAUAUUUUGUUGUGACCAACAAAGUUGUAUUUAAUGAAAAACAAUAGUUUAUGUUUUAUGGGAAUUAUGAUGCUGUCAGUCAUGUUAUGUUGGACGUUUUAGUUAAAUAUAGUAUGUUACAAAAUGUAUUAUUUGAAGCACACAUAUUGCAGGUAUAUCCAAUGUCUGUGUUUGUAUUAUGAACCUUUCACUUCAGAUUUUGAUCCGGAUAUGGUAAAUUUAAGGGAAAUACACUUAAACACCGUUAUUUCGAACACCGAUAAUCCAAAGUCACCGUUAUUUCAAGGUAUUGUUCGGGUCCUGAUUGUGGUUCUUCUUUGUUCAAUGUAAAAUUUCAUUGUUAAUCCGAACUUCGUUUAACCGAAGAAAUCGUUAAUUCGAAGUGUUUAUGUCGGUCCCAACACUAUAUUUCGCACCUAAUUAUCAAUCUUUAAUCCGAAGUCAAAACUGCAAAACACUGAGCGUAAUUUCACACCUAUUUGGUCUGCGCGUUGUGCGUCGAAGCUGAUAAUUACACCUUUGUCGCCUGCGCGUAGCAUGUUAAUUUUAUAAUGUCGUCAAAAGCCGACGACGAGGCCGACAACACAUUAAUGAACAUGAUAUUGAAUCAACGUGUGACCACAUGCAGCAACAAUGUAAGGCAGUUCUGCGAGCAAAACACGGACGGAAGCCAGUUCUUCAAUUUCCUUGACACAAUGGAGAAAUAUGUUACACGCGUCCAGUUUAGUGCUGCUUUCACCAGUGUUCAGAAAGACAUCGCGUCUUAUUUUUAAAAAAGUUUAUUCAUUUCCGAAAAUGUAUUCAUAUGUAUUUACAUGUAUGAUGCGCUAUGCAUUAUAUUUUAUAUUUCUGUAAUUAGAAAAAAAUAAAAAGAAGAAAAAGAAUCGUUUUAUUCCUCCGUUAGUUACAAGUAGAAAUCUAUUGCUAUCUGACUAUUUUACGUUUUUAAGUAAAACAAUUAUUAAAAGUACAGUAUGACCGAAACAUGCGAAUUCCACAAUGUUGUAUUUUUUUCAGAAUCAAAGAAGUCGUCUGUCAAAUGUUUAUUUCGAAUUUUCGUUAAUCCGAAGUUUUUUUAACUGUCCCGACGACUUCGAAAUAACGAUGUUGAAGUGUACAAUCAUAACAAAGUUAUUUUAAGAUUGUCAAAGCUGUUUAAAUGUUUAUGGUAACUUGGACACGAUUGAAAAUAUAUUGGCGUAUUGUCCAUGUUUCAGUUUUCUGUUUUACCAGUAAUAUAGAUGUGCUCAUUAAAAUAAUUCUUCAAAGAGGUUGAGAGUUAUGAAACUUCAGCUUUUCAGUAUAUCAAUCUUUCUGAACACAAUACUUGUCAAUUUGCUCAUUCGGGUCGGUAUUUGAUCCAAAAUCUUGUUAAGUAGCAUACUAUUUCAAGGGAAUAUAAAUUAAUUCUGGGCAAAAAUGUUUAAUCUACUUAAAUUAAUUGAUUCUUUGUUUACUACCAGUACUUUGUUGAUUUCAAUUGCUAUGGUUUGCUAAAUAAUUAAAGCAUGACUGUUGUUUUAUUUGGAAAGCUUUUAAUAAAACACAGAAUUAAAAACAAUAUUAAAAAAAAUAGAUGAGUUUUAUGAAAAAUGGCACAUUUUAUGUUUGUUAAUUUGUGUUGUAAGAUCAUAGACUUACAUGCUCAUAAGUGUUAACAUUCGAUUUUUGACGUUAAAGUUUAUAAUGCUUUAUAUAUGCAUAUGUAAAUUUACACAACCAGAUUGUACCUUCUUAAAUCAGUGAGUACUUUAACCCAGAUUUCUUGAUAACUGUUGAUAGGUAUAUUUUGCCAUUUGCCAUUUAUACAUAGAGCAACUGCAAAGCGAUUGUAUUUUCGAUGUAAAUCAUUCAUUUAGUGUUGCUAUUGUUUAAGAUAAACUCACUGUUUACAUUUAUUUGUACACACCAUUGUUAUAUAACAACAUUGCUUGUGUAAAUGCACAUAUAUGUAUAAAAACUGUUUAAUAAUGCAGCAUUAAAUAUUCUGAAGAGAAAAGGAUAUUUACGGCAAUAUAAACACCUUGUUAUAUGCUAUGCUUUUCAUCGAAUGAAUUUGAGCAACUAUUAAAAUGAAUUUAUUACAACGAGAGUACCUUGAGAUUAGAAAUGAGUCAAUUACAAAAUAAGGGAGAGUGAUGUCAUAUGUUUACAAUUGUCAGGCAUAGCAAUUGCCUCUAUGGGUAAUAUAACAGAGCAAUAUUAUUUGCUUAAACAAUACAAAUUAAGAUGUCUUUUUUUGUUAGAUAAUAAUUGUGUUUACAACUCGAUAUAACGAGUAAAUACAUACAGAAUUUCAAAUUAUUUCGCAAUAUAUACUCGGCAAUAAGUGAAAGUCUAAAAGGAUUUUGUGGAAUAAACAAUUUGCAAAUUAUUUGCUUGUUUCAUGAAGUAAUAGUUAAGGUAAAAUGUGGUACUUAUUGUUACACAAACACAAUGUGUAAUAACAAAAUGCAUCAGUAAUGACAUUUAUUAAAAUUCCUUAAAUUUACAUGACUACUCAGUGCUUUGAGUUUUGUAAUUGUGACGAUUAUAAGUGAAUAUUCUGCAAAAAAUACCUCUAUACGAAAUGUGUAUAUUUCAAUAAUAAUGGUAUACUUGUAUGCAAAGUACUUGAAUAGUUUUGAUGUAUUGCUGAUAAAGAAUUGUGUAAUUGUACUAGUCUUAUUCCAGUUUGUGUAACGUUGACCGUUCAACAUAAGCUGUCAGUGGAGUGAAUUCACUGGGGCCAGUUUCUGUAAAUCUUCCGAUUUAAAACUGCAGCAUACACGUAUGUCUUAAAUCCAGAUUUACAUAACAGUGUGGUUGUUUAUCUUGAAUUUGUAUUGAAUGCAUAAAACAUGUUUGUUCUGUUGUUGAACAACUGAAGAUAGCUUUAAAUGUGUA